GAUAUCUAAUCUAAUACAGGUAGAUAGUCAUACAAUGUAUAUAUCUUAUCUAAUACAGGUAGAUAGUCAUAUAUAUAUAUAACUAAUACCGGUAACUAGCGAUUCACAUUUGUUUUUAAUCUUUGUGCGGCAAUAAUAGAAAAUGCAUAAUAACUGUCAAUGAUUUAUAAAAAAAAAAAAAAAAAAAAUACUACACUUAUUUGAUGCAAGUUGUAUAUCCCAUGCAAUGUCAACAUCAAUGUAUACAUGAUAUUACGAUGGAUGAUCGUUAUUUUCUAUACAUGUUUAAAAUAUUGUAAUAAUGAUGAUUCGUAUAAUUGGUUUUGAUUUUAAUCAUUUUAUAAACAAUCUUUAAAAUGUACAAACACCAUCAGACGAGAAAAAAACGUGCAUCUAGUUACCGUGUCACGUGAUCCUGUGUGCUUAUAAGGCCAUAUCCGGUUUGGUGGUUUUUAGUUAUCGAAACAUUUCGCUAUAUUUGUUGGAUGUGAUGUGCGACUUAUCCAAAUUGAAAUAUUCUCUUGUACUCCACUCAUAUCGAUUUUAUUAUUGUAUUUUAUCAAUUUUUGUUUCUUCGUAAGUAUUGUAUAGAUGGCACGGUAGGAGUUACGGGUCGUUACGAUGUUUUGCCACCAUGUGGCGCUUUUAACUGUUUUAGCUAGUAGUGUACUCUAUAGCGAGUAUUAGUUAGUCGAUCUAUUGUUGUGGACAAAUAGUUGAUGUUAGUUACGGUCGUUUAAGGAGAACCAUAUGUAAUGGCGACUGAUCAACAAGGAAGGUAAACAGAUGGAGAGUGAUCAACAAGGGAGGUAAUUACAGAGCGAGUGAUCAACAAGGGAGGUAAUCAGAUGGCGAGUGAUGUACAAGGGAGGUAAUCAGAUGGAGAGUGAUGUACAAGGGAGGUAAUCAGAUGGCGAGUGAUGUACAAGGGAGGUAAUCAGAUGGCGAGUGAUGUACAAGGGAGGUAAUCAGAUGGAGAGUGAUGUACAAGGGAGGUAAUCAGAUGGCGAGUGAUGUACAAGGGAGGUAAUCAGAUGGAGAGUGAUGUACAAGGGAGGUAAUCAGAUGGCGAGUGAUCAACAAGGGAGGUAAUCAGAUGGAGAGUGAUGUACAAGGGAGGUAAUCAGAUGGAGAGUGAUGUACAAGGGAAGUAAUCAGAUGGCGAGUGAUGUACAAGGGAGGUAAUUAGAUGGCGAGACAUGUACAAGGGAGGUAAUCAGAUGGCGAGAGAUAUACAAGGGAGGUAAUUAGAUGAAGAUUGAUCAAUAAUUGAGUCAAUUUAACAUGUCCAUUUUCUACUUAAUGUGUUCUCUUGAAAUUUUGCAAUUAUUCCGUAUUUUACAAUAUACUUUUGUGAUGUUGGACAAUUCCUUGAAAUUAAAGCUUUUUUCAAAGGACUAAGAGAAAACCUGCCACUUAAACAAGUUAGAGUCGUUUGUCGAUCCAGCAAUGCUACAAUGUUUUAUGCUUUUAGAUUAAAAAGGGAUGUCUCUUCCCUCUAUUUCCCACGAAAUCAAAUUAACGACGACGUAGUAUUAAAUAUCAAUAUUAGUUCUAGUUUUUGGAAAACUUUGCUACUUAGGUCAAGAGUUUUUAAAGUUUUUAGGACUGAUCAACGUAAUAUAUAAGCCUAUAUAACCAUCAGCUAAGAUGAUAAGGUGAUGCUUUUUGCACUACACGAAUUACUUUUAUUCGCCAGCUUAUUAAAAACAGUCUCAUGAUUGGCAAAGUAGUAGAUUUGUCGACCUUCCAAGUGAAGACGAGAACAAUCUUCACUUUAUACAUUUAGAAACGAAAGAUUUUGUAAUCCAUCAACGUGAUUAUUUCAGAUUGUAUCUGGUUACCCGGAUGAUGUUUAGGUACCCGGAUGUUGUUUAGGUACCCGGAUGUUGUUUAAAUACCCGGAUAAAUGAUAGAUCCCUUGUAGUAAUAUCGUGACUAGUUUAACAUCUGUACGACUUAUCAAAGAGGGCAUUGUCGGCAUGCUGGAAGCAAAGCUGACCAUGGAAACUGGUUUGUCGAUUGUUAGGAUAAAGACGGUAUAUUUCCUGACGUAUACAUCUUAUUUCUGCUCUGUUAAAUACGCUUGUUUCAAAAUAGCUUUCUUUUUAUCUUUCUAUUAAAACAUUUAUUGUAUCUGCCUCAUACAAAGCAAUGAAAUCCCAAGGGAUACAUCAAACAGAUUAUUUUGAUAUUCUGAUUAGUAGUAACAGAAACACAAUGGAGCAAUAAUGAUUUUAUAUUGACUGUGUAUGAGAUGUGUAUUGGUACAUUUGUCGAUAAUUUGAUGUUUUUUCAUGAUUAAACCAAUAUGUAUGUGUACCUUAUUCCAGUUGACGUAAACCUUCGAUACAUGUCCACGAAAACCACGAAAUAUAGAGAAAUAUCCGUUUCCCUGUGUCCUAGUCCCUAAUCCUGGCCCCGGUCUCAUCAACAUUCCUCAGUGACAUUCCUUAACCUAACAUUUUCUAUAGAAAAACAUUACAGAUAUGUUUCUCUAAAUUCUAUAAUGUGUUCCCCUUAAAUUCUGUAACAUGUUCCCCUUAAAUUAUUUAAUGCGUUCCCCUUAAAUUCUGUAAUGUGUUCCUCUUAAAUUCUGUAUGCGUUCCCCUUAAAUUCUGUAACAUGUUCCCCUUAAAUUCUGUAAUUUGUUCGUCUUAAAUUCUGUAACAUGUUCCCCUUAAAUUCUGUAACAUGUUCUCCUUAAAUUCUGUAAUGUGCUCCCCUUAAAUUCUGAAAUGUGUUCCUCUUAAAUUCUGUAAUUUGUUCCUCCAAAAUUCUGUGGCGUUCUCAUAUGGAAAAAAUUAAGUUAACGAAUGUUGAUAAAACCGGGGCCAGACUAACUGGUGUUCCCAAAAGUGUCCACAAUAAGUGUCCACAAUAAGUGGUUAACAUGAACAGUGAAGCAAUGAUUGAAGAACUUGUCAGAAAGAUCACGUUGUGUCUAUGAGUUCGUGUUUGAACAUUUAGGCAUAGUAACAGAUACCGGUAUAUUUGAUUACUUGGCUAGUGCGUAUUUUAUCCUAUGUAAACAUCUACUUUAUAUAUACAAGUAAUGACUGUAAUGACGACUAUUUAUUUAAAGCAUCAUUUCAUCGAUUUUAAUUUGACAAUUAUACCGAAUAUCCUCUAACCCUAUUGCCGCGUGACGUCUGUUAUCAUAACUUCUGUGUGACGUAACAUGUACUUCUCUGCUAGUCAUGAUUUCCUAACAUGUGACACUGCUUAUAAUGCAAAACAUUGAAAUGACUUUGAUGAUGAAUGGUCGUGGUUGCUGGGACGGUUUUUUGUCCCUAUUUGUAUGUUGUGUUGUUCUUAAACUUGGCAUGAUUUGGAUUGAUUUUACUUCGUAUUUGUGUAUGUAAUAAACAAACUUAUUCCAUAAUCCGGUAACUCAAACAGAUAUAUUUUUAUCACGUGGGAAAAUCCCUCAGAUUCUCAUUGAGUGAGAACUCUUUAAUUAUUGUUUCCUAUGAUUCACACACAAUACAUGUACAUUGUGGGCGGUACCGCGGCCAUCUUUAUUCAUGGCUGUGUUGUGUAUCUAUUAUUAAUCUACCAUGAAUUGUAGUGAACUAUCAGUAAUUAAAAUACACCUAUGUUCAAUAACGUAGGGUACGGCCGCGUGCCAAAAAUUUCUGUCAAAUGUCGAUAAUGUUGAACACGUGUACUUUCUAAAAGUUCGUUCCGUAUUGUUACUCGUCUGUAAUUUCGUUCUACCUUGAAUCUCAAUGACUGGUUAACUGGCGUUGAGCCUGAGACGCAUUUGAUAUCGUACCGCCCACGAUGUUUCCUGUCUCGACACAAGACCUUAUGUCUGUCUAAUCAACGUAUUGAACGUUUAACCGUGGUAAAUUUUACUUUCAACGGAUCAGAGAUUUAUGGAGAGAUUGCUCGCUUUCUCUUGUUAAAAAGCUCAGAGCCAAACGAGAAAGGGAUGAUUUUGUGUAUGUUGUUCUUCACUAGAACAUUAGUUUCUAUAACAUUGGCGCACCGUUCACUGUAGAAGGCUUUAUAAUAGACUAUUUCAAUUGAGAAAUGUGGCUACGUAUUGGAAGCAUGAUUCUGGUUUCUAGCUUUUUUUUCUCACUAUCAUGUAUAAUACCUUUAAACUGCACAGAAGAUACAACGUCAACAAACAAAUUAUGAUUUGUUAUGCCUUUAGGAGGUUUAGUGAUCUUGAAAAUGCUCGGCGAGCUUUCCAGUAAUCUGUGUUCGUCUUUUAGAAGCGACAACCAAUCGAUAGAUUGUUUGUUGCUGAUGUUUGCAUUUUUGUAUACACUAGUUAUUAUCAAAGAGACCUGUUCACAUAAAAACGAUUUUAACGGGUACAGACAGACUGAAGAUAGACUUGUAUACACUGUAUAAUUUGUUUUUUAAGAGUCGUUAGCGAAAACCGAAAUGUCAUAAACGUUCUCUCAAAUCUCCUAUAUAUUAAGUUAUGAUACAUCAGACGUCCGAAAGCUUCAGACUCCUGACUGUUACGCAAAUUAUUUUUCAAAUUUUAUUUUUCGAUCCAUUUUCCUUUGUCUCAUUUAGACAGUAUAUUGUCCAUAAAGCCUGUCUUCCAGACUUAGUACAAGGUUAAGAACAUCUUCAAAGGCGACAUUAAAAGAGCAUGCGGCUUUUUCGCGCGUGCUGAACACGGGGUGCUGGCAGGCUUUCUGGUUAGUGUGUUCAGUUUGGAGAGAUUAUGUAGAUAACGUGCAAAAAACAUAGGUAUGGUGCCUGGUAUCGAGGAAAUACAUCACAAAGAAUGGCAGAGAGUGCGAAUUAACAUACAUUGGUAGCGAUGACAAAAUUACAUACACAUUGGUAGGUAGAGGACAAUAAAACAUGACGUCAGUAAUGUUAAAUAUUAACCCAGUCUACAUGUACAGUAUACAUAUACAACACACACACAGAGGGCUACAUUACUUUUGACACUGAUCCAAUAAUGUGUAUAGUCUAUGAAAAUGGGUUACAAAAGCUGUUUUACUCAUUAACAGGAAAAAUUGGACAGACAUUUUUUCUUUUUACUUGGCAUUACGGUCUUUUAGACGCUUGGUUAACCAGGACAGGACAGCCGCUUAUAAGCGCUGAAGGGACAGAGAUCUAACAUCAGACAACCGAAAUUGAAAUAACAUUGGCAUGCAUACAUCUUGGCCUUCAUUCUAUUUAUUUUAUUGGGAAUAACACCCUCAACAGUAUCGUGGACAGACAGGGCUUUCCAAGUUAUUGACUUUGUAUCACGGUUCCAGGAUCUAGGAUUUUCAGGGCAGUUUUUCAGUAGACAAUGCAUAAUAGAAUAAUUGUAUCAAUAACAACAAUACUUAAGGUAGUAAACAUAAUGCAUUCGACGUCCUUGCGAAAAAAAUAAAUUUUAAGCAGAAAUGGAAAUUAGACCGUUGAUUUGUCAUCCUAGUGUAUAUCAUUGAGUUGUCAUCCGGGUGUUCAUCAUGAAAUUGUCAUCCGCAUGUUGACCAUUGAGUUAACAUUCGAGCGUUGACCGUUAAGUUUAUAUCCGAGUGUUGACCAUUUAGUUGACAUUCUAGUGUUGACCAUUGAGUUAUCAUCUAGGUGUUGACCAUUGAGUUGCCAUGUGAAUGUUGACCGUCGAGUUGUCGUCUGUGUUAAGACCAUUGAGUUGUUAUCCGAGUCUAGACCAUUGAGUUGUCACCCGAGUGUCGACCAUUGAGUUGUCAUCCGAUCGUUGACCAUUGAGUUGUCAUCUGAGUGUUAAUCACUGAGUUGUUAUCUAAGUGUAGACAAAUCAUUUGACAUCAAAGUAUUGACCAUUAAGUUGUCAUCCGAGUGUUGAAGUUUGAGUUGUCAUCCGAGUGUUGACCAUUGAGUUGUCAUCCGAGUGUUAACCAUUAAGUUGUCAUCCGAGUGUUGAAGUUUGAGUUGUCAUCCGAGUGUUGACCAUUGAGUUGUCAUCCGAGUGUUAACCAUUGAGUUGUCAUCCGAGUAUCGGUCAUUGAGUUGUCAUUCGAGUGUAGACCUUUGAGUUGUUAUCUAAGUGUUGACCAUUGAGUUGUCAUAAGAGUGUUGAUCAUUGAGUUGUCAUAAGAGUGUUGACCUUUGAGUAAUCAUCCGAUAACCUAAAAUCCUCGCGCACAUCUAUAGUGUACGCGGGCUGUUGGACACGGCAUCAGGUUUGAAUUCUGCAAAGUACAGAAACACAAUGCAUUGUUCUGUUUAUAAAUGAUCAUACUAUUAUGUGAGGUCAUAUAUAUAGACAUCGUUUUCUGAUACAGUUUACAUCCAAUUUUGAUGUAUCACAGGUACUUUUAUAAAGUCUCUCUUCGGUUUAAAUGUACAAAUGUAGUUUGAGUUAUGUCCCUUUAUUAAGCAUAUCUUAUUAAACUUGUUAAAGUAUUAUUGUAACAUGUAAGUGAGGUAACGAAAACGUCCCAUCAGCGAUGUCCUUUACAGUUUUUAUAUUCAUUUUUUCCUUCGAUUGGUGUGAAUAUUUUAGUUUCAACAAUUAUCAAAUACAUAUAGCGUUAGAAUUUUUAAAUGUUUAGUAUAUCUUACUGUGGUACGCGAUUCCUUGUGUGACUCCGCGUGACCUACUUAUUGACCUAGUGUGUGAUUGGCGUGACCUUGAGUGUGACCUUGACACUACAUUGAGAGUAAUCUUGGCGUGACAUUGGGCGUUACCGUGAACGGUUGGCAUCGAUUUUGUCCACUAACAGUGUUUUAAGUAAUAUAUACAUAUAUAUAUAUAUAUUGGUAAAUAUUUGCAUGCUAUUUUUUUUCAAACCAUUCCGAUCCGAGCGCCUUCCAUACAUCCACACAUUAUCUAAGUAAUGUGUUUUACAUUAUUUUGAUGUUUACAUUAAACAUCAAUGGGUUUGUCAAUAACUAUGUGGUAUUUGCAAACAAUGAAAAUCGACACCACAUUAAUAAAACAUGUUUUUGCUUGGAACAUUAGAGUUUAUAUCUACACAUAUGUUAUAGAAUUUUAAUUCAACAGCCAUUAAAAAAAAUAAAAAUUCAGAGGUUAUUUUUUCAUUUAACGUUAUAGUAACUUUUCUAAUCCAGACUCUAAUGGAAAAUAAAUUUGAAAAAAACCAACAUGAUAUCAUAAAAUGAAGAUUUAAAUAUAAUAAAUACAGCUAAAAUAUAAACAAAGUAGCUAUUUUUUUUAUUAAAUGUAAGGGCUAACACUUGUUUUCUUAUUUGAUUGUCUGCAAUAUGGACUGUUGUAGAAAAAAAACCCGGAUGUAUGUUGUGAGUGUAGAUCAGUCGAUCACCGAUUUAUUCAUUGUUUACAAAUUUACAAGUUCACAGUUUUUGACAAUACGCAUGCGCCGUCAACACAUUCGAUAUCCACGUUACCGAAUCUGCUCGUAUAAAUGUACUAUAUGUUAAUCCACACCGAGUGUUUCGUUAUUUGAAUACGAUCAUUAUGUUAGCACGGGUGCUAGGUAUCAGCACGUGUUGAUAUCAGCACGUGUGCUAGGUAUCAUCAAAUGUAGACAUCAGCACGUUUGCUUGAUGUAAGCACGUGUGCUAGGUAUCAUCACGUGUGAUAUGUAUUUAUACAAACAUGCAUUCAUAUCAACAUAUUUGCCAUUCACGUUGACAGACGACCUGAACAAGUAUUGUUUCAACACGCAUUGGUGUUGACUGAAUGUAUUUAUAUCAUUAUUUUUACAACUUAAAGUUGACGGGAGAUUUUUUUACCAGAUAUAAUUGACUGAUAAGGUUGUAGCAUGAUAUCUCCACGAAAAUACACAUUACAAUACGUAUGUUGACAGGCUAUUGUUGACAGCAAUGUGUGUAUCAUACAUGUAAAUGUUGACCAGAGUUAGCUCUAGGUUAUUGACAAGCGAUUUGCAUGUCCACAUAGGUGUAAAACAUAUGACUGUGUUUAUGGUAAUAAAUUUUAAAAUUUCGUUGAAAACAUAUUAU